CCCUUAGAUGUCCUGGGCGGCACGCGCGCUACAAUGAUGCAUUCAAAAAGUCUUCUGACCUUAGAAGGUUGGGUAUUCUCCAAAGUGCAUCGUGAUGGGAAUAGUUUAUUGCAAUUUUUAAUCUUGAACGAGGAAUUCCUAGUAAGUACAGGUCAUCAACUUGUGUUGAUUACGUCCCUGCCCUUUGUACACACCGCCCGUCGCUCCUACUGAUUGAGUGUCUCGGUGAAUUCUUUGAUCUUCUGUCGAUUCAGUUCACUGAUCCGACGGUGGAAAGUUGAAUGAACUUCGUCACUUAGAGGAAGGAGAAGUCGUAACA
rnacentral:rRNA from 1 species